AGUCCGGAAAAACCCGAAAUGCAAAUCCGGAGAAGCGACCCAAAAGUCGCCCGGACUU
rnacentral:tRNA from 1 species